UACAGAGGUGGCAAGCGUUGCUCGGUAUCACUGGGCUUAAAGGGCGCGUAGGCGGUGCGGUACGGUUCGGUGAAAUCCCUCGGCCCAACCGAGGAACAGCCGGAGCUACGGCCGGACUAGACGGCAUCAGGGGACAGUGGAACUCCCGGUGGAGCGGUGAAAUGCGUAGAUAUCGGGAGGAACGCCGGUGGCGAAAGCGACUGUCUGGGGUGCCUGUGACGCUGGAGGCGCGAAAGCCAGGGGAUCAAACGGG
rnacentral:rRNA from 1 species